CAACAAUAUAUAUAUAUAAACUUUACCUUAACCUAUACGAUGCAGUUCUGGAUCAGCCGGUGCGACAAGCUUGAGAUCGCAGGGGAUCCGAUAUCUUGAGAAAAGUAAAUAUUCAAGAUUAUAAGAAUAAUAGGUAUAACGAAGAAAGGUCUUAUAUUCUCUGUCAAAGUUUGCAUUCGUCGAGAAGCCGCGGUAAUACCUACAAGUUACCCUCAAGACGAUUUCUUGUGGUCGUUCGAACGUAUUUUUUCGAAUCGAUUGGGUUCAGAGGUAAAAUGUUUCUGCAUUUUUAUUGCGUGGAUUCUAAUUGGCCGACUCGUGGAUACCGAUGGUCCCCCAACAUUUGCUGCGUAAACUCUUCAUUUCGAUGCCGGAGGGAUGAGAAUGAUGACUCUAACAGCUCUGCGAAUGACGAAGGAUGAGGAAGGAUGACGAACGUUGCCAGAGAACUACGUUAAAUUCUCUCUAAUUGAUGAUUCGCUGAAAUGAUAAGAAAAUAGACGAAUGUAGUUUCCACAUAUUGCAAUCGACGAAGACAAUUUUUAUUUUGCAUAAAGAUCUGCAGUCUGUCCAUCGAUAAGGCUAAGCCACGCAACAACGUCCGCGAUUCUACUCUUAGUAUUUCCAUGUUUAAGCACAAGUGAUAUAGAGGAUAGAAUUUGCCCGGCUUACAAAGGGGCGUAUAGUACCGAACUCGGCUUUCUGUGAUUUUGCUCUUUUAUCGAAACACGAAGUUCACGUUCAAUUUUUCACGCGGAAUUGUUUAUAUUUGUUCCCCAAUUCGGAUAAAGCAUUAAAUUCUGCAUAAGAAGGUAUGAUACCAAAUAGGACCUAAAAAUAAAUGGUUACCGAAAUAUUAGUAAAAAUAAAUUACUAAUAGAACAUAAUGUAACAGAAAAGAUCGCUUAUUAGCAGACUACGGAUUCUAUGCAUUCAUGACAAAAACGAUCAUUUGCAAUGUCGAACAGUGGAAACAUUAAAAACAAUAAAUAGCGCCAAUGUACAAAAAUGGACAAUCCGAGCGUCAAUUAGGGCGAAUUUACUGCACCGGUACUAUUGAGAAAAGAA